rnacentral:misc_RNA from 1 species
UCUCUCUUUCUCUGUCUCUCUCGGCAAUGAUAAAAUUCUUUCUCAAAUUUUGGUUGUCAUUUCUUAGUUCAACAAAAAUCCCAAAAAUUUUAAUUUCCAAUGAAUUUCUUGGACUUCCUUAGCAGACGAACGAAGAAUUAGGGUUUAGUUCUUUUUAAUUGUGCUUGUUUAUUUACCAUAUGCUCUGUGAAAUAAUGAACUCUUGUUGCUAUAAGUUGCAUUCGAUUCAUUCUUUCGAUCGUCUUCUUGCUGAUCUUUGUUUAAUUAUAUGUAUUCUUAUUUUAUUGAUUUCUAGGUAACUAGUUAUGCUUUUCUCAUGAAUUUUGUGAUUUGUUUAUAAGCAGAGGCUAAAUUGCACAUUGGGUGUUUGUUGGUGCUUCUUAUUUUCCUUGUGUUGGGAAUUUGAGUUCCAAGGAGAGAAAAAUGUUAACCUUGAGAAAUGAUCUUUUUUAAUCCUUUGGAUCUGCAAUUUGUGGACAGGUUAAUAUCGCAUAAGGGACGACUUCAUUUCUAUCCUGGGCUUGAUAUAAUUUAGGGAUGAGUCAGAAAGGUUUUAUAUAUAGCUUCGUGGCGAAGGGUACGGUUGUUUUAGCAGAGCACACGCCAUACUCAGGGAACUUUAGUACCAUUGCUGUUCAAUGUUUGCAGAAGCUUCCUUCAAAUAGCAGCAAGUACACAUACUCAUGUGAUGGGCAUACAUUUAACUUCCUUAUUGACAAUGGAUUUGUUUUUCUUGUCGUUGUAGAUGAAUCAUCAGGAAGAAGUUUGCCCUUUGUAUUUCUUGAGCGCGUGAAGGAUGAUUUUAAACAGCGUUAUGGUGCAAGUAUUAAGAAUGAGGCGCACCCGCUUGCAGAUGAUGAUGAUGAAGAUGGCUUGUUUGAAGACCGAUUUAGCAUCGCCUACAAUCUCGACAGAGAGUUUGGGCCAAGGCUUAAGGAACACAUGCAAUAUUGUAUGAACCACCCAGAAGAGAUCAGCAAGCUAUCCAAAUUAAAGGCCCAGAUAACAGAGGUCAAGGGAAUUAUGAUGGACAAUAUUGAAAAGGUUCUGGAUCGUGGAGAGAAGAUCGAACUUCUGGUAGACAAAACAGAGAACCUACAGUUCCAGGUGCUUGCUGUUCCAUAUGAUUAGGCCUGAAAGUUCGAGUGGAGCUUGUAAUAAUGUACUUUCUGGACAUAUGUUUGAUUUCAGGCUGACAGUUUCCAGAGGCAAGGAAGACAACUGCGACGGAAGAUGUGGCUGCAGAAUCUCCAAAUGAAGUUAAUGGUAGGAGGAGCAAUCCUUGCCCUGAUAGUUAUACUUUGGCUUCUUGUCUGUCGAGGUUUCAAAUGUUAGUGGGGGUCAAAUCCAGAUGAAGAAAGAAGGCACUAGCAUUUUCUUGUGUUUUUAGUCCUUUGGUGUAUAAAAAUUUUAUAUUUUAUUGAAGAGAUUGGUGGUGGAAUGAGGUCCAACUAUUACUUUGUUCAAUGCUGUAAUUACGCCAUUGUGCUUCUUUAUGUAGAGAAUGUGGCCUAACUACCAGUCGAUAUCUGUGCGGUAAAAAUGCUUUAAAAAAACCGCGCUGUUAAAUUUCUCUAUUUUUGCUGUUGAUUUCUUGAAUUUGUUGAACCCUCAAUAUACUGUUACGUUGGAUGGGUUUGAAAAUCUUGAAUAAAAUAUCUGGGUAUAAAACUUUUUUUUUU